AAUUUUCUUUAGUAUUUGUUGUUGAGAUUUUGUGUGCACGCUUUACGGGGAUUUACAGAAAAACCUAAACAGAGAUAAGAAAAUGACUUCCGAACGUUAGUUUUAAUCUACCUUCCAGUGAAGCAAACCAAGUUUACUUUUGAAACUUGUAAUACUAUAGUAAAACUAGUUAAAAAUGGAGGUACUAGCCAAGGGUAUCAUGAUAAGCGCUGCGGUGGUGGUGGCGGCCGUGGCUGCCGUGGUUCAGUGGUGGCAGUUCAGCCAGGUGCCGGAGCGGUACUCCACGCAUGGCGAGCGGCCGAGACGGAACUGAGAGGAGGAACUUCCACCUGCACAAAGUAUUGAAGCACAGCAAUAAUAAAUGAUUAUGCGAUAUUAUUAGCUUGAUUAGAAAUUAAUAUUAUUUAUUGCAAGUUAUGUUAUUUUUUUAAGAUUGGUUCUUUUAAUAAAAAUGAAUGAAUAAA